AUACGGAGGGUGCAAGCGUUACUCGGAAUCACUGGGCGUAAAGCGCGCGCAGGCGGUCUUUUAAGUUGGAUGUGAAAGCCUACGACUCAACCGUAGAACUGCAUCCAAAACUAUUAGACUAGAGUGUGGGAGAGGAAGAUGGAAUUAGUUGUGUAGGGGUAAAAUCCGUAGAGAUAACUAGGAAUACCAAAAGCGAAGGCAAUCUUCUGGAACACUACUGACGCUGAGGCGCGAAAGCGUGGGGAGCAAACAGGAUUAGAAACCCUAGUAGUCC
rnacentral:rRNA from 1 species